rnacentral:lncRNA from 1 species
CCUCUGAGAUGACUCGGGGACAGUGCUGGAGGAGCUGGAGGUCUGCGUUUACUAGCACCCAGAGGGUGCUCUGCACACAGUGGCUCUGAUUUAUGAAAUGGGGCUGUGGGUGGGCUGCGUAAGUGGACUAGUGGUUGGUUGAUGUUAUGGAUGGGCAGUUAGGGGUCCCGCGGGCAGGUUGGAAUUGUGCUGAGGAGCUGACUGGGUGCCGAGUGGGCUGGCCAGCAGUUGGGUUGGUAGGCUGGGCAUCAGAGAGAGAUAGGCCUGGUGAAGGCUGAGUGGGUGUGGGCCAGAGAUGCCCUAAGUAGGGUGUUCACUUGGGUAGCCAGAUGGGAAGCACACACCCCAGGCUGUAGCUGAGCAGGCAGGGUCACCCAUGGUGGACAGGUUUCAGCAGAGCUUCCAGACCAGACAGACUAAGAAGAAGGACCUGGACACCCACUUCUGAAAAACAUUGGCCAUGAAAAUCCUAUGAAUAGCAGCAAAGCAUUGUCUGAUAUAAUGCCGCAAGGUGAGGGGACGGCGCAAAAAGACCGGGCAGGGUUCCGCUCUGCUGUGCACAGGGUCACUAGGAGUCAGAAUCAACCUGACGGCACUAAGAGGUGGCAGAAAUGGCCACCAGCAGCUGAAAGCUCGCGUCCUCUCUGCUUAGCAACCCCAGUUGAAAGCAAUGUCCACAUCCCCAAACACUUAGCAAAUUUCCAGAAGAUGCUCACAGGCUUUGGUUGGUCAGGUUUGGGUCAUGAAACUCCUGCUGAGUUAGUCACCAUAUCCAGAGGAGGCGGAAUUCUGGGUUGCCCUUGCAGCCCACAGCAGGAACAGCAGCUGCCCGCCGCAGAAUCGGAGGCUCGGUGUCCUCUUCGGUAAAAGGGGAAUGCGACCCGCACUCAGUCAGGGCGGCAGUGGGGAACGGAAGCAUCGUGACAGCCCUAAGCCACUGGAAAGAGGAAGGAAGGAAAUGAGGUGCCUGUGGUCAGCCCUUCAUCUGGGGACCUCUGAUAUCACACCACCACCUCUUGUUGAAAGACAGACCCAC